rnacentral:rRNA from 1 species
AUUGAACGCUGGCGGCAUGCCUUACACAUGCAAGUCGAACGGCAGCACGGGAGCAAUCCUGGUGGCGAGUGGCGAACGGGUGAGUAAGGUAUCGGAACGUGCCCAGUCGUGGGGGAUAACGUAGCGAAAGUUACGCUAAUACCGCAUACGAUCUAUGGAUGAAAGCGGGGGAUCGCAAGACCUCGCGCGAUUGGAGCGGCCGAUAUCAGAUUAGGUAGUUGGCGGGGUAAAAGCCCACCAAGCCGACGAUCUGUAGCUGGUCUGAGAGGACGACCAGCCACACUGGGACUGAGACACGGCCCAGACUCCUACGGGAGGCAGCAGUGGGGAAUUUUGGACAAUGGGCGCAAGCCUGAUCCAGCAAUGCCGCGUGCAGGAUGAAGGCCUUCGGGUUGUAAACUGCUUUUGUACGGAGCGAAAAGGUCUCUUCUAAUACAGGAGGCCCAUGACGGUACCGUAAGAAUAAGCACCGGCUAACUACGUGCCAGCAGCCGCCGUAA